CCUACGGGUGGCUGCAGUGAGGAAUAUUGGUCAAUGGACGAGAGUCUGAACCAGCCAAGUAGCGUGAAGGAUGACUGCCCUAUGGGUUGUAAACUUCUUUUAUAGGGGAAUAAAACGUUCCACGUGUGGGAUGUUGUAUGGACCAUAUGAAUAAGGAUCGGCUAACUCCGUGCCAGCAGGCUAGGUAAUACGGAGGAUCCGAGCGUUAUGCGGAUUUAUUGGGUUUCAAGGGCGCGUAGGGGGAUUGUUAAGUCAGUUGUGAAAGUUUGCGGCUCAACCGUAAAAGUGCAGUUGAAACUGGCAGUCUUGAGUCCAGUCGACGUUGGCGCCAUUC
rnacentral:rRNA from 1 species